ACAGAGAAAAGAGGUGUGCUGUUUUAGACCCUGAGCGUGUGCUAUAAUGAUUAGCACCGUGGUGUGCUAAACAGUGAUUCAGCACACUACAUGUGCUGUUUUGUAGGCAUAUAGCACAGCCUACGUGUUGUAUUGGUGUGCUUUUUCAUGGCUUGUAAUUUUGAUGUUCAAUUAAUGUGCUAAAUGGACUGUGCUAAAUGUAAUGGGUGUGCUGAAACAGGUACACAUGCUAAUUCAGCACAGUGUGCUGUUUUCAGUACCAAAUAAGGGCAUGCAGUACAACAGAUGUGCAGCUGUAGCUGCAUAGCAACAAAGACUUUUUUUUUAUUUGCUGUUCUUGCAAAGAAGAAAAUAAGUUGAGUUUAGACAUGGUUUGAGAGCUGUUUGACAAAACUGUGGAACUAGGUAAGUUUCCCUCAACAUGCUGAACAAUGCUGUACAAUCUAAUUACACAGCUAUUGUAUAAUAAUUAUUGUACCAGGGUGUCAUACAGUACACAGGGGGAGUAUCCCCUCUGGCUCCAACCCCCCCCCCCCCCCCCCUAAAAUUUGCAUUCAGGUAUUAGUAAUGGUGUAUGACUGAGUAUCCAUAGCCUGUAUACUAACCAGGGAAGGACAAGCAAGUAAAAGGUUGAAUGGGGCUCAACAAAGUGGAUACCAAUUGAAGCUUAUAUUGCCCAAGUUUCAUAGCACAAUAAGAUGAUGUUGAAAGUGACACGUGUUGGAGAGAGCAUUAUACUGGACACCCUUGUAUGACCAGACCACUGUAAAGUAUCGACACAAUUGGAGGUGAUGCUGAGAAGUCAAAGGCAGUGUCUUACAAUUGCAGUGAACUGAGUGCAGACUUGCUAUGGUUAACUAACCAUGUUUAAAAAAACCUUUCACUUUUGUAUAUCCUCAUCGUUUGUUUAAUACAAUUUUAAUACUGUAUUGAUGUAUUGUUGUUUCUAAUGUUUGAAAUUGAUUUAGCACAAUACAAUCAGCACAACUGUUUCAGCACAUUAGAAUUCAGCACAUGUGCCGCCGGUUUAGCACAUCAGGUUGUUUAGCACAUGUGCAAACGUGCUAAAACUGGAGACAUUCGUUUAGCAUGGUUUUCUGUGCUAAAUCAGCACGUCUUUUUUCUCUGUGUAUGACUGAGUUCUGUGAAGCUGUGGCUUAUGCCGUCUAUUGCAUUGGUCUAGAAGGCUUGAACACUAGUUUUAAGACAGAAGAGGCUCUCAUCUACGUCUAGGAUGGUCCUAUAGCCGGGUUGUCUUCGCAA